rnacentral:piRNA from 1 species
UGCUACACGGCCAAUUUCGUGGCCCCGGA